GCGCUCGUAGCUCAGUUGGAUAGAGCGUUGGCCUCCGGAGCCAAGGGUCGCAGGUUCAAAUCCUGUCGAGCGCGCCA
rnacentral:tRNA from 3 species